rnacentral:rRNA from 1 species
GAUUUUCGCAAUGCCCGAAAGGGUGACGAAGCGACGCCGCGUGCGGGAAGAAGGCCUUCGGGUUGUAAACCGCUGUCGGGAGUUAAGAAAUGUAAGGAUGUUAAUAGCAUCUUUGCUUGACUAAGGCUCCGGAGGAAGCCACGGCUAACUCUGUGCCAGCAGCCGCGGUAAUACAGAGGCGGCAAGCGUUGUUCGGAAUUAUUGGGCGUAAAGAGCACGUAGGCGGCUAUGUAAGUCGGUUGUGAAAGCCUUCCGCUCAACGGGAGAACAGCAUCCGAUACUGCAUGGCUUGAGUGCGGGAGGGGAGAGUGGAACUUCUGGUGGAGCGGUGAAAUGCGUAGAUAUCAGAAGGAACGCCGGCGGCGAAAGCGGCUCUCUGGCCCAUAACUGACGCUGAGUGUGCGAAGGCUAGGGGAGCAAACGGGAUUAGAUACCCCGGUAGUCCUAGCCGUAAACGAUGGGCACUAAGUAGAGGGGUUUUAAUC